rnacentral:rRNA from 1 species
UACGGAGGGGGCUAGCGUUGUUCGGAAUUACUGGGCGUAAAGCGCACGUAGGCGGUGAAGCAUGUCAGAUGUGAAAGCCCUGGGCUUAACCUAGGAAUUGCAUUUGAAACUGCUUCGCUAGAGGCCGGAAGAGGGUAGUGGAAUUCCCAGUGUAGAGGUGAAAUUCGUAGAUAUUGGGAAGAACACCAGUGGCGAAGGCGGCUACCUGGUCCGGUUCUGACGCUGAGGUGCGAAAGCGUGGGGAGCAAACAGG